AAACUAACAAGGAUUCCCUUAGUAACGGCGAGUGAACCGGGAAGAGCUCAAAUUUGAAAUCUGGCGUCCUCCGGGCGUCCGAGUUGUAAUCUAUAGAAGCGUUUUCCGCGCCGGACCGUGUAUAAGUCUCCUGGAACGGAGUAUCAAAGAGGGUGACAAUCCCGUGCUUUACACGACGACCGGUGCUAUGUGAUACGUUCUCUACGAGUCGAGUUGUUUGGGAAUGCAGCUCAAAACGGGUGGUAAACUCCAUCUAAAGCUAAAUAUUGGUGGGAGACCGAUAGCGAACAAGUACCGUGAGGGAAAGAUGAAAAGCACUUUGGAAAGAGAGUUAAACAGUAUGUGAAAUUGUUGAAAGGGAAACGAUUGAAGUCAGUCGUGUCCAUUGGGUUCAGCCGGUCCUGCCGGUCUACUCCCUUUGGACGGGUCAACAUCAGUUCUGACCGGCGGAUAAUGGCACGAGGAACGUGGCACCCUCCGGGGUGUGUUAUAGCCUCGCGUCGCAUACGCUGGUCGGGACUGAGGAACGCAGCUCGCCUUCAUGGCCGGGGUACGCCCACGUACGAGCUUAGGA
rnacentral:rRNA from 1 species